rnacentral:lncRNA from 1 species
GUUAUUAUUAGAAAUUGAUUUCUAUUUUGAAUUUUCUCAGUAGAUAAAAUUAUUAAAAUACCUUCUCUGUGAAGAAAAAAAAUCAACCUUUUAAAGGAUAUUAUGACAUAAUAAAGUGAGCAUUAACUUAAAAACUUAGUGCUAGGGUGUGGUCUUUAUAAAGUCAUUUUACCCAGAGGUGGUUUUAGGGUUCUUUGGGCUGUAGUAAUGAAGAACAGGAGCAUCAAACGGAAGGGUAAAUAAAAUAGGCAACAUGAGGAUAAUUCAAAAGUGUCAUUAGUUCAACCAACAUUUCUGAGAACACUUCUUUGAGGAACACAUAGUUCCCUAGAUGGUGUAAAUGAAUACGACAAAACACCUAUCCUCAAGCUGCCCCUCAAGCAGUCAUGCUAAGCUGCUCCUGCAGCCCUCAUGGGUACCCCAAGGAGUGACUGAAAGGUGCAUGAUGACCUGGUACCCACUCACACCUCCAGCUGCAUUGCUCACCACUCUCCCCUGCUCACAGAGAAUCAACCUACAGCUCCUCAGCAUUGUCAGGUCUCUCCUCCCUCCCAGCCUCAGAGCUUGCUUUGCCCAUUGCAACCAUCCUCUCCCACCUCUCUUCCAUUCAGUGACUCCUGACCAUUGUUCUGGUCCCAGGUAAGACUUUUCUUCCUCCUGAACACCUUCUCUGUAUACUAAGCAAUGGGUUAUACAUUAUUUCUUUGCACUUCUGUAGCAUCUGUAAUUCCUCUUUGAUAGACUUUCCCAAAGUGGUUAUAAUUUUGUGUCUGUUUAAC